UACAGGGGGGGCAAGCGUUGUUCGGAAUUACUGGGCGUAAAGGGUUCGUAGGUGGCCACUUGAGUCAGACGUGAAAUCCCUCAGCUUAACUGGGGAACUGCGUCUGAUACUGAGUGGCUUGAGUGCAGGAGAGGAAUGCGGAAUUCCAGGUGUAGCGGUGAAAUGCGUAGAUAUCUGGAGGAAUACCGGUGGCGAAGGCGGCGUUCUGGACCAUUACUGACACUGAAUCGCGAAAGCUAGGGGAGCAAACGGG
rnacentral:rRNA from 1 species